GAUAAACGCUAGCGGCAGGCUUAACACAUGCAAGUCGAGGGGCAGCAUAGAUUGUAGCAAUACAAUUGGUGGCGACCGGCGCACGGGUGCGUAACGCGUAUGCAACCUACCCGUCACAGGGGGAUAAUCCGGAGAAAUCUGGUCUAAUACCCCAUAACAUAUGGAUCGGCAUCGGUUCAUGUUGAAAUUUUCGGAGGUGACGGAUGGGCAUGCGUAGCAUUAGCUUGUUGGUGAGGUAACGGCUCACCAAGGCGACGAUGCUUAGGGGGACUGAGAGGUUUUCCCCCCACACUGGUACUGAGACACGGACCAGACUCCUACGGGAGGCAGCAGUGAGGAAUAUUGGUCAAUGGGCGCAAGUCUGAACCAGCCAUGCCGCGUGCAGGAAGACGGCUCUAUGAGUUGUAAACUGCUUUUGUACGAGGGUAAACCCAGGGACGUGUCCUUGGUUGAAAGCACCGUACGAAUAAGGAUCGGCUAACUCCGUGCCAGCCGCCGCAGUAA
rnacentral:rRNA from 1 species